GAUUAACGCUGGCGGCGUGCAUAACACAUGCAAGUCGAACGAUGAAACUUAAAUGAUUUCUUCGGAAUGAACUUAAGUGAAUUAGUGGCGGACGGGUGAGUAACGCGUGAGUAACCUGCCUUACACAAGGGGAUAGCCGUUGGAAACGACGAAUAAUACCCUAUGAAACUAUCACUUCGCAUGAAGCGAUAGUCAAAGUGUUAGCGGUGUAAGAUGGACUUGCGUCUGAUUAGCUAGUUGGUGAGAAAAAAGCCCACCAAGGCAACGAUCAGUAGCCGGCUUGAGAGAGUGUACGGCCACAUUGGGACUGAGACACGGCCCAGACUCCUACGGGAGGCAGCAGUGGGGAAUUUUGCACAAUGGGGGAAACCCUGAUGCAGCGGCGCCGCGUGAUUUAGAAGGCCUUCGGGUUGUAAAAAUCUUUUGUAUAGGAAGAAAAUGACAGUACUAUACGAAUAAGGUCCGGCUAAUUACGUG
rnacentral:rRNA from 1 species